UAGCAUUAUCUUAUAGUUAGGAUAGCCUUAUGCCUAUCCCACGCAUGCUUAAACUCCUUUACUGUGUUAACCUCUACCACUUUUUUUUUUUUUUUUAAGAUUUAGCUUGUUUGAAUACCAUUUUAUUAAUUUUGUGAUUUGUCAUAAGUGCGAUGAUUAUGGCUUACAGCUCAUGAAAACCCCAAAUCCACAAUCACAGUAAAUUAGAAUAUUGUGAAAAGGUGCAAUAUUCCAGGCUCACAGUGUCCCACUCUAAUCAGUUAAGUAAGCCACAACACCUGCAAAGGGUUUCUGAGCCUUUAAAUGGUCUCUCAGUCUGGUUCAGUAGGAAUCACAAUCAUGGGGAAGACUGCUGACCUGACAGUUGUG